UGCAGUCGAGGGGCAGCAUGAUUUGUAGCAAUACAGAUUGAUGGCGACCGGCGCACGGGUGAGUAACGCGUAUGCAACUUACCUAUCAGAGGGGGAUAGCCCGGCGAAAGUCGGAUUAAUACCCCAUAAAACAGGGGUCCCGCAUGGGAAUAUUUGUUAAAGAUUCAUCGCUGAUAGAUAGGCAUGCGUUCCAUUAGGCAGUUGGCGGGGUAACGGCCCACCAAACCGACGAUGGAUAGGGGUUCUGAGAGGAAGGUCCCCCACAUUGGUACUGAGACACGGACCAAACUCCUACGGGAGGCAGCAGUGAGGAAUAUUGGUCAAUGGCCGAGAGGCUGAACCAGCCAAGUCGCGUGAAGGAAGAAGGAUCUAUGGUUUGUAAACUUCUUUUAUAGGGGAAUAAAGUGGAGGACGUGUCCUUUUUUGUAUGUACCCUAUGAAUAAGCAUCGGCUAACUCCGUGCCAGCAGCCGCGGUAAUACGGAGGAUGCGAGCGUUAUCCGGAUUUAUUGGGUUUAAAGGGUGCGUAGGUGGUGAUUUAAGUCAGCGGUGAAAGUUUGUGGCUCAACCAUAAAAUUGCCGUUGAAACUGGGUUACUUGAGUGUGUUUGAGGUAUGCGGAAUGCGUGGUGUAGCGGUGAAAUGCAUAGAUAUCACGCAGAACUCCGAUUGCGAAAGGCAGCUUACUAAACCAUAACUGACACUGAAGCACG
rnacentral:rRNA from 1 species